UACAGAGGGGGCAAGCGUUGUUCGGAAUUACUGGGCGUAAAGGGCGCGUAGGCGGCCUGCUAAGUCGAACGUGAAAUCCCUGGGCUCAACCCAGGAACUGCGUCCGAUACUGGUUGGCUUGAAUCCGGGAGAGGGAUGUGGAAUUCCAGGUGUAGCGGUGAAAUGCGUAGAGAUGUGGAGGAAUACCGAUGGCGAAGGCAGCCCCCUGGGAUAACACUGACGCUCAUGCACGAAAGCGUGGGGAGCAAACAGG
rnacentral:rRNA from 1 species